rnacentral:rRNA from 1 species
GUCUACAGCCAUGCCACCCUGAAUGUGCCCAAUCUCGUCUAAUCUCAGAAGCUAAGCAGAGUCGGGCCUGGUUAGUACUUGGAUGGGAAUAGCAGGUGCUGUAAGCA